rnacentral:rRNA from 1 species
UACGUAGGCAGCAAGCGUUGUUCGGAGUUACUGGGCGUAAAGAGUAUGUAGGCGGUUGCGUAAGUUUGGUGUGAAAUCUCCCGGCUUAACUGGGAGGGUGCGCCGAAAACUGCGUGGCUAGAGUGCGGGAGAGGAGAGCGGAAUUCCUGGUGUAGCGGUGAAAUGCGUAGAUAUCAGGAGGAACACCGGCGGUGUAGACGGCUCUCUGGACCGUUACUGACGCUGAGAUACGAAAGCGUGGGUAGCAAACAGG